GUAGAAAUUAAAGCUGCCUAGAUCAUAUAACUAUCCUGCACUUGCAAAGGUAGUCAUAAGACUAUGGAGAGCUGGCGGAUGCUUCUUCCCAUCUCAUAUCUAUUUUGUUCACAGACCAUGCAACUUGCCUCCAAAACAAAACAUUUGCCUAGAAGUAUUAGUUUUGAUCUUUUGAAAUUCUAGCCUGCAAGUUUCUUCAGAAACCAAAAUGAUGAAAAUGGCUCAUAUUCGUAAUAUGCGUGUCAAUUUGUAAACCUGAAAAGAAUGAAACAGCUUGGUCAAACAUAGAAAUUUCAUGAACAUUGUGAUUAAGGAAACAAAAGUGGAAAUUUUGUUACAAUGGAGGAUAGCUGACGAGGAAUUUUGGUACUAGUCCUAGAUGAUCUUAGGACGUAACAAGCCAACAACAUAGGCUUCAAAAACAUAGGGUCCAGAGAACAGCAUUCAAUGAUGCAAAAGCACUACAGCUCUCAAGACGUAAUCAGCUAGAAAGACGCCCACUUCAUAGAACAUUAGAAAUUAAAUUACUGACCUGGGCAGUCCUACAAGGCAGGGACACUUCCAAGCAGUUUCGGAGGCCAUCAACUCUGCGGAGACAGAUAGGUGAGAUCCAGAUAACAAUAAAGAAAAUUAGCAAAUAUAUAAUACAGAAAACAAGUUUCUAUGUGGGGAAAGAUACUGCCUUUUGUUAAUGGUUCUUUGAAGAUACUGAUCAACCUUUAUAAGCCCGUGACCUCCAUACUUCAUCUCAUCAGUGUUUAGUAUGAUCUGUGCCAUCAUAAAUAACGCUUAAAUUUAACUGCAGGAUGUGAGAUAGGAGGACAAGCCUCUUCUAGGAUCAGUAAUCUCCUCGCAAACAUAGAUGAUCAAAUUAAAAUGCAAAGAGAACUGCAUAUAUAUGGCAUGACCAGUCUAAAUCACAUAAGCUUGAACAGUCUACGCCACUAAAUAAAAACUCGAUUGACCCAUAUGGCAGGAAGGUGGGAUUACUUUUCACAAAAGCUGAAAGCUUUCUUAAGAAGUGCCAUUUUGAUAUCUUAGCUUUUGUGAACCUUGCUGCCAAAUGGGCACUAUAUUCUUACCAUUAAAUACAGUAAAAGACAAGGAAUCAAACUAUGACUUACUUGAUACUCUCCUGCUUCUUCUACACCUACACUGUAUCUUUCAUAUGCAUUGGUUGGAUGAAAAUUGAAUACAAAGAGAAGAGGACCUCUUGUGUAAGAUAUUACCAUGGAAGUAUCAUUCACAUGGUGAAUGCUUGGCAAACCCCGAGAAAGCACCCUUUGAUUUUCAUCCAAAUUCAUCAGAUCCUUAUCAAAGGAGAACAAAUUGCGAUGCACGUCUUCAUUUGCCAGCAGAUCCCAACUACGUUUAGCAAGCGAAUAUGAGAAGUUGUUGCUAGGCAUUGGGAACUCUACCCUGUUCGGAUGCCCAAAUUCAUUGCCCAUGAAAUUGAGGUAAGCAUCACCACCAAUUGUAAAGGUAAUCAUUCUGAUCAUUUUGUGUAGGGCACAUCCCAUAAGCAGUGAUUCCUUAGAGGCAGGAGAUUCAGGAGAAUGGUUCUUAUAUUCACCAAACAUUAUCUCUGCAAAUGACUGCCCUCCAGAGAUAGAUUGGUUGUGAUUUUCAGCAUAUAAAAGCAUCUUUCCUGCAUAUUGUUUGUUGCCCAUUAAUGUACUGACAAUCUUGGUCAUGCUCCACUCAUCAUAUGGAACAUCCUUGAGAAAAGAGGACCACAUCUCUGAUGCAGAAAUAUUGACAUAAUAAUCAAAUCCCAAUCCCCCUUGUGAAGUUGGUUCGCAGAGUCCAGGAUAAAAUGUUGCAUCUUCAGCAAUCGUUAUUAUAUUAGGAUGAAGAGUAUGUAAUAGCUCAUUUGCCAAUAUGAGAUACAAUAAUGCAUCUUUGUCAACAUAUUGAUUGCAGUACUCUUCCAAGUCGCCAGUAAAAGAAGCAAAACCAUUGUGUGUGUACAGCAUUGAUGAGAGUGAAUGAAAUUGGAAACCGUCUAUUUGAUACUCCACAACCCACCAGUUAAGAUUUGAGAGUAGAUAAUGCAGUACUUCAUGGUCUCCAUACUUGAACAUCCUUGUACCCCAAUAUUUGUGAUGCCCACGUUUACCAGUGUGAAAGUAGCAAUCAUUUGACCCAUCGAAAAGUGAGAGUCCAACCAUCUCAUCAGCAGCUGAGUAGGAAUGGACAAUGUCCAAGAACACUAGUAAUUCUAAUCCAUGUGCUUCAUCAACCAAGCGUUUGAAGUCAUCAGGAGUGCCAUAUCGGCUGCUAACAGCAUACAAAUUGGUAACCCUAUAACCAACAGUAAAAUAAUCUUUGUGCUCAACAACUCCAAUCAGCUGGAUUGCAUUGUAUCCCGCUUCCUUCACAUGUGGAAGGACCUUCUCUGUGAAAUCAUUGAAUGAAGAUAUUUUUGGCUCUGAGCCACUAAUUCCAACAUGGCACUCAUAUAUACGCAAUGACUUUGGCACUUUUGGGUGAGUGUUUUUCCAUUUGUAAGCACGAUCUGGGGGUGGUUCCCAGUGGAUGGCAAAAGGUUGUUUCCCAUCUGUGCCUGGUUGUACAUAAGUAGCCCAAGCAGGCACACGUUCCAGUGGCCCAUUGGGAGUGUUAAAGUAGACCCUAUAUUUGCUUUCAUGAGGAAUAGUAGGAGUAUACUUUUUCAACCAUGCUUGCCUUCCUUUCCGUGUCUCAAACCAAUAAGGCAGGGGAGGCUGCUUAGCACGGAUUUUCUCUAGCCAUGCAGGAUCACUUAUGACAUUAAAUAUGUCAUAUUCUUUUCCUUUAUCAAUCACAUCACACGGAGGUAAGUUACUAGGUGGAUCAUCUUUAUGCUGCUCUUUCCAGGCUUUAUAUCUCGUUUCUGCGUCUGGUAGUGGUAUUGCAUCCAAUUCUUCUAUCGUUUCAGGUCCAUUAGGGCCAAACCAUUGCUCAUACAACUUUGCUGGAACUUUAAACCGGUUUUUAAUAUACUCAUCUUCACCAGGUUCCCAGUAUUCAUCAUUUGCUUUGUUGAAGAUUUCUUCAAUGCUAACACCGCUGUCACCUUUAUCAUAGUCAUCCACAUAGUUAUACUGUUGGAAAUAAAGCUCAUCUGGUUUUUCUCCCUCCCUUAGUUUAUCUUCAAGAAUGAUAAACCAAUAACCAUAGUCAUCAUGGCCUAAGUGACCCUCUCUUGCAAAAUUUUCUGUUGGUGACCACCCAUUAAAGUCACCAACUAGAGCACAAUAGCGCGCACCUGGUGCCCAUUCCAUAUGAUCCAUCCGAUGCUCUGGAUGACGAUGCAGACCCAUCAACUCAAACCCAUAAGCAAUGUCCUUGAUCAUAAGGUUUCGGUUGAAAAGUUCUUCUUUGAGGUCCUUCAACGCUUUAUGUCUUUCACGGAGAAACUGAGCGAAUUGUUUAUGGGAAAUGCCGAGUCUGGUGAGGAACCCGACGGGGUCAAUUCCUUUCUCGCCUUCAGUUUCACUUUUCUUGCUCUUAUUGGAGUGCUUUUGUUGUUUUGAUGGUGUUGGUGGUUGGUUUGUGGCUGUGCAUGUUAUUUUUAAUCGGAUUUUGCAGGGAAAAAAAUUGAUGCUUUGAGCUUUGGUUUGGGAGCGAAAAUGUAAAGAGGGGCUGUUUGGAUAGAUAGAAAAAGAGGAUUUGGUUGAGAGAAGUGAAAUCAUCUCUGAGAGAGAGAGAGAGAG
rnacentral:misc_RNA from 1 species